rnacentral:rRNA from 1 species
AUUGAACGCUGGCGGCAGGCCUAACACAUGCAAGUCGAGCGAGCGGCGGACGGGUGAGUAAUGCCUGGGAAUUGCCCAGUCGAGGGGGAUAAUAGUUGGAAACGACUGCUAAUACCGCAUACGAUUGGAUUGCCAAGGUGGGAGUAGCUAGUUGGGGAGGUAAUGGAUAACCAAGGCGACGAUCCCUAGCUGGUCUGAGAGGAUGAUCAGCCACACUGGAACUGGUACACGGUCCAGACUCAUACGGCAGACAGCGUUUGGGAGUAUUGCACAAUGGGUGAAACCCAGAUGCAUCCGUACCACGUGUGUUAGGAAGGCCUUCGGGUUGUAAAGCACUUUCAGCGAGGAGACGUUACUCGCAGAAGAAGCACCGGCUAACUCCGUGCCAGCAGCCACGGUAUUUC